AGGUGGUAGCUCAGUGGUAAGAGCUUGGAACCAAAACUUCUAUGGUUUCAGGUUCGAGCCCUGGGUUGCUCA